UUUCUUUUAAGUGACCCAGUGUGAGUACAGAAAACCUCCAGCUCUGAGUUUUCUUCAUCCUUCAUGACGCCUAAUAAACGGUUUAGUUUCCUGAGAUGGACUCAGUUCUUUCAGAGCCUCAGCUGUUACGUCCCAGGCCGGAGACAUACCCCACAGGGGAGAGGGCGGUCCAGACCCUAAGGAGGGUGCCCAUGACGGAGCCAGAGAGCACAGACUGGAGGACGCACGAGUGUUGGUUAAGAAAAAGGAGCACACUCGGGUCAAUGCCCGCCUCCUCACCUCGCUGUGCUGGACACGAGGUGUGGGCGGGGGACGGGCAAGGGAGGGUGGGGACGUCCCUGAGCGUGACCGGAACUGAGGUGCAUGAGGAAGCUCUGCAUGCAGGCAGGUCCAGGCAGAGGGAACGGAGCCGUCCUACACAGAGAAGUCUGAAACAGCGUCUGUUCUGUGGGAGUCGCUGUUGCACUGACUCCUUCCAGAUGGAGAGGGAGGGGCGGGUGGCAUCCCUUCACCAUUCGCAUGUAUUUCCUCAUGGAACCCCGUUUCAUCGGCCAAACCACCUCCUAUUCUAGGCUCAGUAGGUAGCGUCUGAUUCUGGAACCUGGAGACCCAUCCUGAACACCUGAGACCACAGACCAGCACCAUCGAGGGGGGCCGAGGGUCCGCGUGUCCAAGUUCCUCCUCCCUCCCCUCCAACAGUGCACGGAGGCCGGGCAGCACCACCGACCCAGGUGACCCAACAGCGCACGGAGGCCGGGCAGCACCGCUGACCCAGGUGACCCAACAGCGCAUGGAGGCCGGGCAGCACCGCUGACCCCGGUGACCCAACAGCGCACGGAGGCCGGGCAGCACCGCUGACCCAGGUGACCCAACAGCACACGGAGGCCGGGCAGCACCGCCGACCCAGGGUGUGAUCUGAAGGCCCAACAGAAUCUGCUCUGAACGUCAGAUACUCAUCAGAGGCCACGCUGCGGCCAGGAGCAGCUGCCUUUGACCCGCCUGGUGCCGGGUGCCUUCCUCCUGUGGUGAUGGGUCCGAGCCCCAGGCAUCGCGGAAGUCACUCCGCACAAGGAGGGUCAGUGCGCGGAGCCCGUGGUGGACUCUCACACAGCUGCUCUCUGCUCCAGGGGGACACCCUCAGGCCAGGGGGCCUCGCUAUAACUAGGUCCAUUUCCCUUGCGAGGUAGUUACCUUUUAGGAUAAAAGGGCAGCGAGGAACCUGUUAGUGUGCGAGGCUUGCUCACAGGUUGUGGGUUUCCAUCCCAAGAGAAGGAGCACCGGGGGCCUGUCCGCGGGGAGCUGGCUGGGGGCCUGUCCGUGGGGAUCUGGCCAGGGGGGGCCUGUCCGCGGGGAGGUGGCCGGGGGCCUGUCCACUGGGAGCUGGUCCUGGGACAGCUUUCCCAGCCAAGAUGGCCAAGGACUCAGCAAACCACAGCGCUGCCCAGACCCCUGUCUUGGUAAAUCACGUUUUAUCGGAACAUGCGUUCCCCUUGUGUCGAUCCGUCUACCACUGCUUUCUCUCCACGGCAGCGAAGCGGAGUCGAGGACACGGAGGCGGAGUGGCCCGCCAGCCUGAACAGCCACCCGGCCCCUCGCGGGACACGUUUGCCGGCGCCUUCGCACAGGACGUGCUCUUGGCGGCAAGUUACAGCGUCUACUCCACUCAGUACGAGAGCUGCGCGAUGAAAACCUCAACGUCCCCAAAGUGUGAAAACUCAGAAAUUCCCCGAUCACAUUAGCCGCCUCACGCUGGACGGGAACCCCUGAACGUGUGCCCAGCUCCUGGCUGUUG